CCCGGCCUUACCGUGCCGCGGUGCCGGGCGGUGUCAGACCCCCGCCGGCAGGCUCAUGGGCGCCGCGCUGAGGCUGCAUCCUUCGGGAUUCAGCCCCAGAACCGCGUCCUCUGCCAGCCGCCUUCCUCCUCCUCCACGGUCACCCGCAUCCAGCCGAGCCUUAAGGAGCUCUGCUGUAACAUUCAUCCGGAUAAAUGGAUCGUGUUAAUGAACAUCAACGGAAGAACCGCAGCCAUAAAUUAACCAGGAGAGCUGGCCUCUGAAGAAACCUUAAUUCUACUUUGACGGCAAAAUCGGAUUCAGACGGUCUCUCUCCCUGCUGUGCUUUAUUUUUGGCCAUAUCGUUUGCUGGGCAGGUUGCCAUGACAACCUUAUAUUCACCGGAGGGUGGCUAUAAUUGGGAGAGCACAUUGUUAAUUUAGCUCCAGAUUUUUUUUUUAUUUUGUCGUAUUUUAAGCAAAGGGGAACUGCCUGGAUUUUCAUAUUUGUAUCUGUGAUCAUACUACGGUUUAAUUAUUAAUCCGAGCGCCAAUAGCAUCGCUCCAGCGAAGGCUGAGCUGCCGUGCAGAGCUCGCCGGGGCAGACAACAGCUCUGUCCGCAUCCCAUUUCCCCGGCUCAUCUCCUCCUCCAGCACCCACACACACACCCCCUUCCAGCCCCCCCGAGCCCCUAAGCCAAGAGUCCCCCGGACCAGGAUU